AUGCGAUAAGUAAUGUGAAUUGUAGAAUCUCGUGAAUCAUCGAAUCAUGCGAUAAGUAAUGUGAAUUGCAGAAUCUCAUGAAUCAUCGAAUCUUUGAACGCACAUUGCGCCCUAUGGUAUUCCAUAGGGCAUGCCUGUCUGAGCGUCAGCUCCCUCACACUCAAGCUUCUUAAUUGAAGGUUGGAUUACUUUAAAGAAGCAGCUGCAAUAUAAUAGGCUACUCUUUAGAAAUUCAUAGGCAGUAUGACACCUAAAUCAGGCGUAAUAAGAAUAUAAACGUGUCUCUUUUUAGGAAGGUUGUACUUGCCUCAACCCACCCAUUUUUCUUCUGAGUGACCUCAGAUCGGGUAGGGAUACCCGCUGAACUUAA
rnacentral:rRNA from 1 species